GACGUAGGGUGCGAGCGUUGUCCGGAGUUACUGGGCGUAAAGGGCGCGUAGGCGGUUGUCCGCGUCGCACGUGAAAGCCCCCGGCUCAACCGGGGAGGGUCAUUCGAUACUGAUCGACUCGAAGGCAGGAGAGGGUAGUGGAAUUCCCGGUGUAGUGGUGAAAUGCGUAGAUAUCGGGAGGAACACCAGUGGCGAAGGCGACUACCUGGCCUGUUCUUGACGCUGAGGCGCGAAAGCUAGGGGAGCAAACGGG
rnacentral:rRNA from 1 species